UGCAUCAACUACUGUAAGUCGCUCUGGAUAAGAGUGUAUGCUAAAUGACUAAAA
rfam:Salmo salar isolate Sally breed double haploid chromosome ssa22, whole genome shotgun sequence.